rnacentral:rRNA from 1 species
UACGUAGGGGGCAAGCGUUGUCCGGAUUUAUUGGGCGUAAAGAGCGUGUAGGCGGCCAUGCAGGUCCGUUGUGAAAACUCGAGGCUCAACCUCGAGACGUCGAUGGAAACCGCAUGGCUAGAGUCCGGAAGAGGAGAGUGGAAUUCCUGGUGUAGCGGUGAAAUGCGCAGAUAUCCGGAGGAACACCGGUGGCGAAGGCGGCUUCCUGGACCGAUUACUGACGCUGAGGCGCGAAAGCUAGGGGAGCAAACGGG